rnacentral:rRNA from 1 species
CAGCAGCCGCGGUAAUACGUAGGUGGCAAGCGUUGUCCGGAAUUAUUGGGCGUAAAGGGCUCGCAGGCGGUUUCUUAAGUCUGAUGUGAAAGCCCCCGGCUCAACCGGGGAGGGUCAUUGGAAACUGGGAAACUUGAGUGCAGAAGAGGUGAGUGGAAUUCCACGUGUAGCGGUGAAAUGCGUAGAGAUGUGGAGGAACACCAGUGGCGAAGGCGACUCUCUGGUCUGUAACUGACGCUGAGGAGCGAAAGCGUGGGGAGCGAACAGGAUUAGAUACCCCAGUAGUCCCUGUCUCUAAUAC